UGACCCGUGCCAAGGACUCAUGUAAGCAAGACCGGGCACACGCAAAUACGCGUGCAACAUGGGCCCAUUGAAAAAAAACAAUGCAACGUGUUUGGUGUUGUGCUCCAGGGUGUAGAACGGGAUAUGACAACGAGCCACAACAUUCUAGUGUUACGAUCAAUCUGUGGUCAAAGAGAGAAACCCCAGACUUCAUAACGCCUGACUGAGAGCUAUUCCAAGAGAAAAAGAUCUGAAGAAAUCAGAUUAGGCACCAUCCAAAAGUACAAAGCUGUGUUCCCUGCAUUUCAACGAAUCUGAUUUAAUCUGUGAGUCUAAAAGAAGUCAGACCCUUGACAAGGCUCUAAGGAAGAGGUAUCUCAAACCAGAUGUAGUACCAUCCCUAUGGCCAAACUGCCCAACUACCUCUCAACUCCUAUAGCUUCAUCAAAACCAACUCAGGCUGCGAUCACGUCACGUAGGAAAUGAAAUGAGUUCUGUGGAAGUACUUGUUGACAAAUUGGCCAAGGGGACACUCCCAUCAAACUUCAUCCUCAUCCCAAAACCAAGUGCUGCCCUUUUGAAGUUAUCCCAUGAUGAGAAAUUGGGCCCCCAAGUAGUAGUCAGCAUCCAGUUGGAGACAGAUAUGUCAUUCAAAAAGUACCACACUGGUGUGUUGAUUGACAAAAAGGCAGUAUCACACAUCACCUCAGAAGGCAAGGUCAACACUGUGAUUCAAGCCAUCAAUUUGGCUUCCUUUCUGGGAGCAAAAGAAGAAUUGAAUCAAACAGAGACCUGGGAAGACAUUUUCAACAAGUUAGUGAAGUUUCUCAACUCCUCAGAGAUUAAACAUAAGCAAGUUUCUAAACUCUCUUUAAUUCAUUAGCAAAUGGCUCUCUUCUUCACCAAAACCAACAGUUAGAUAAUAUUCACCUUGUGUUCUUUCAACCGCACUCAUAUGGGAGAAUGUGAGCUCAGGACUAUGUGGAAUAUCCUAAACGUCAGACACCUGGAUUUGGCUACGAAAAGAGAGAUGAGCUUCGUGAACCAAUCUCUGAACAAACUUGGCCUCUCUUUCUUGAGAGAUUUAGUCGAAUUUCUCAUUGAGGGGCAAAACAGUAAAGCAUCUGGCCUCAGAAACCUUCCUAGCAACAAAGAAGACUUGCUUUGCUGCAGUAGAUCUGGUAGAGUAUCUUCUCCUAAAUGAAUACUUCUUCUAUGUUCUCCUCGGCAUGUUCCAGUCUGAUCCCAUCGAAAGAAGGUUUGGCUGGUACAGACAACUAAGUGAAGGUAUCUACUACAUCAGCGCGAGACAGAUUCUGGAAGCAGAGAAAAAUAUUCGUAUUCUGAGUCUUGUCAAAUUCUCAGGUCUGACUACUUCAGAAAUUAAAGGUUUGCUGGAUGAAGACCUGGUAAAAACUGAGCUCAUUUUGACUAACUGGCAACCAGAUGACCUCCAGGAACUAGCUUCCAAGGGAGAGAGUAAUACUCACCACUUUGUUGCCGGGUAUAUGCAAUAUCACCCUCUGGAAUAGCUUAGCAAAUAUUGCAUUUCCUCAUAACCAAGAACUCUAAUACAUCAAUUGAAUAAUAUUUUAUUUUUUCUAUAUCUCCAAAUCUCAAAUCCAAAUAUGUGAACAAGGCUCGAUGGUUAAAUCAGUGGACUAAGAAGAUCCCUGACGUCUUCAACUCUUACCUGAAUGUAGUUGAUCUAUGGCGCAUUACAAUAAACUCCUAUAUUAUUUUAUAUACUUCGUGUACUCCGUCUCUAAGGAAUGUUACUUUCAAAGAUGAGACUCCGUAUUUCAUUUUUAAACACUUGUCUUAUACUAUCUCCUCCAACACGAAACUUUUCAGUCAACCAUAUUAUUCAUUUUUUCCAUCUCGAUUAUUUACUUUGGAUUAGGUGCUUGAUACAAUAUGGUUGGAAAAUUGAUGCUUCGGACUCAUGUUGAAUUAGUUUAUAACUCAAGAAUACGUAAACACAGACCUUGUCAAAAGCAUAUUAUAUUAUAGAACAAACUUCUUAAACUUGUUCCCUGAAAAAAUUGCACAAAACCUGUAGAGAGGACUGGAAAGCCAUAAGCCAAGACUCAACAAAAUUAUUUGUCCUUGGUAAUCCCUGUGCCACUCUAUCGUACAUAUUCCAGAGAGAUUGUGGAUACUUAGCAACUCUUCUGGCUAAACCGUACUGUCUACCUAUGCAUGUUUCUUCAAAAUAGUCUGCAACGACUUGCAGUAUGUCUGGAAAAGUUUCUGUCAGCUCUUGGAAGGCUCCUGGAACCUGGUCCAGGCGUAAAAAAAAGUCAAAGAAAUUAGGUUUUUUUGCCUUUAAUCGAAAAUCUUCACUAGUUAUGUAUAUUUGCCUUAGUCCAGAAGUUUAUGUAUGUAUCCAAAGGGAUAGAAGCAACCAACUAAUUUUGCUUGUGGAAACGCAUUCUGUGUUGCUGUUAUAGUUACCUGUUCAAAAUCUAAUAGGAUGCUUUCAGGAUAGAAGACUCUGCUAGGAAAAGUCCAUAUCAAAAUCUUCUAUUAGUUUAAUGGGACUUGUUUGGAAGUAAUCCAAUGAGACAUGGAAUUACUGUCCCAAUAAGAAGUACAUGGACAGUGAAAACUUUGUAAAAUAUAGUCAGACAGACUUUAAAUAUCCCUUUCACGAACCAAUGUAUAUAUUUGGUUAUUAAGUCCCAACAUUUUUGAUGUGCCAAAUAUUAUAAUUCGAUGUUCAUCAUCGACAUCUGAAUCAUACAGGAGAAACGAACGCUGUUCUACAGCGUUCGUUUUAUGAAAUUCCUCAGAAAUUUCAAAUCCAUUUCUUGCUCCCGGUGAUGGUGGGGCCUUGUUAUUGGGAUGUAUCCUUAUAAUAAUAGUUUGGGCCAAAUUUAUAUUAGUUCUUAAAGAAGCAAAUGCUUCUUCGCUUAAAUUUUGGACAUUGUUAGCAAUAUUUGCUCUUGUAGACUCGGAAAAUGAUUUAGCAUAAUUUAUUAUAGAAGUGUACAAUUUCUUGAUUUAUAUUUUUGAUGGAAAAACACCAUUGUUAAAUCUAUGGCCACAUUAAUGACAUUAAUAUUCUUUAUGUUCAUUCAGAAGGGAUACACCUCAUCUAGUCUAGGUAAAUACCUUGGACGUACCAAAUUGUGUAUAACGUGAUUAUUCAACAAAAACUUACCAUUUUAACUAUUGUCUUCAAUAAAACACAUUAUAAUUA
rnacentral:lncRNA from 1 species